AGAGUUUGAUCAUGGCUCAGAACGUACGCUGGCGGCACGCCUAAUACAUGCAAGUCGAACGAAGUAGCAAUACUUAGUGGCAGACGGGUGAGUAACAUGUGGGUAUCUUCCCUAUGGUGAGGAAUAACACGAGGAAACUUGUGCUAAUACCUCAUAAGUCUUUACGGAGAAAGCUUUAUGCGCCAUUGGAUGAGCCCGCACUUGAUUAGUUUGUUGGUGGGGUAAUGGCCUACCAAGACUUUGAUCAAUAGCUGAUUUGAGAGGACGAUCAGCCACAUUGGGACUGAGACACGGCCCAAACUCCUACGGGAGGCAGCAGUAGGGAAUCUUGCACAAUGGAGGAAACUCUGAUGCAGCGAUGCCGCGUGAGUGAAGAAGGCCCUUGGGUUGUAAAGCUCUUUCGUCGGGGAAGAAAAUGACUGUACCCGAAUAAGAAGGUCCGGCUAACUUCGUGCCAGCAGCCGCGGUAAUACGAAGGGACCUAGCGUAGUUCGGAAUUACUGGGCUUAAAGAGUUCGUAGGUGGUUAAAAAAGUUGGUGGUGAAAUCCCAGAGCUUAACUCUGGAACUGCCAUCAAAACUUUUUAGCUAGAGUAUGAUAGAGGAAAGCAGAAUUUCUAGUGUAGAGGUGAAAUUCGUAGAUAUUAGAAAGAAUACCGAUUGCGAAGGCAGCUUUCUGGAUCAUUACUGACACUGAGGAACGAAAGCAUGGGUAGCGAAGAGGAUUAGAUACCCUCGUAGUCCAUGCCGUAAACGAUGUGUGUUAGACGUUGGAAAUUUAUUUUCAGUGUCGCAGCGAAAGGCAAUAAACACACCGCCUGGGGAGUACGACCGCAAGGUUAAAACUCAAAUGAAUUGACGGGGACCCGCACAAGUAGUGGAGCAUGUG
rnacentral:rRNA from 1 species